UACGGGGGGUGCGAGCGUUGUCCGGAAUCACUGGGCGUAAAGGGCGCGUAGGUGGUUUGAUAAGGGUGUGGUGAAAGUCCGGGGCUCAACCCCGGAUCUGCCGUGCCGACUGUCAAACUCGAGGGCUGUAGAGGCAGACGGAAUUCCAGGUGUAGCGGUGGAAUGCGUAGAGAUCCGGAGGAAGACCGGUGGCGAAGGCGGUCUGCUGGGCAGUUUCUGACACUGAUGCGCGACAGCGUGGGGAGCAAACAGG
rnacentral:rRNA from 1 species